UACGGGGGGGGCAAGCGUUGUUCGGAAUUACUGGGCGUAAAGGGUGUGUAGGUGGCGCGCUAAGUCGGGUGUGAAAUUUCGGAGCUUAACUCCGAAACUGCAUUCGAUACUGGCGUGCUUGAGGACUGGAGAGGAGACUGGAAUUCAUGGUGUAGCAGUGAAAUGCGUAGAGAUCAUGAGGAAGACCAGUGGCGAAGGCGGGUCUCUGGACAGUUCCUGACGCUGAGGCACGAAGGCCAGGGGAGCAAACGGG
rnacentral:rRNA from 1 species